ACAAAUUGAAGUUGUGUGGUACAAUUUGGGAGUUGAAGUAGUCACUACAAAACAUUUUCAAAUCAUGCUACCAACACCAACCCAAAAUAAAAUUAAUUUCAUACAUAU